rnacentral:rRNA from 1 species
UGAACGCUGGCGGCGUGCUUAACACAUGCAAGUCGAACGAGAACGGGAUUGCUUGCAAUCCUUAGUAGAGUGGCGCACGGGUGAGUAACACGUAGAUAAUCUACCUUCAAGUCUGGGAUAACUGUUCGAAAGGGCAGCUAAUACCGGAUGAAGUUAUUUGGCAUAAGUUGGAUAAUGAAAGAUUGCCUCUUCUUGAAAGCAAUUGUUUGGAGAUGAGUCUGCGGACCAUUAGUUUGUUGGUGGGGUAAAGGCCUACCAAGACUACGAUGGUUAGCUGGUCUGAGAGGAUGAUCAGCCACACUGGAACUGACACACGGUCCAGACUCCUACGGGAGGCAGCAGUGAGGAAUUUUGCGCAAUGGGGGAAACCCUGACGCAGCAACGCCGCGUGAGUGAAGAAGGCCCUUGGGUCGUAAAGCUCUGUCGACAGGGAAGAAAUUACUUUGUAUUAACAGUGCAUUGUAUUGACGGUACCUGUAGAGGAAGCACCGGCUAACUCC